rnacentral:lncRNA from 1 species
UCAUUAUAUAAUAUGGUAUCAAUUUAACCACUUUGAGAGAUUGUUAUUUUGGUUUCAAAAGUAAUUUUUAGACUUUUAAAAGAUAGUUAACAUUUUCUUUUUUUCUUCAUUUUUUUCUUUGUUUUUUCUGGAAUCUUUACUUAGAAUUCGUUGUUGUUUAUUACAAUCUUCUUUCUUCUUUAUCCGCUGAUUUAUUAUUUUCAUUCUUGUUCAUUUUCACCGCUGAUUUAUUAUUUUCAUUCUUG